rnacentral:lncRNA from 1 species
UUCCUCCAAACUCCAGAAGAAAUCCAAGACAAAAACGAAAAAUGGAACAAUAAAUCACCAAAUAGAUACAAAAAAGAAAGUAAAUAAAUAUCUAAAAGCUAGCUAAUCAUCAAUUAUUCAUCAUCUCAGACCAUAUUAAAAGUUUUUCUUGUGAUUAAAAAUAAAAAAUCAAUGAUAAAACAGAGACAUUAAUCAUGGAAAGAAAGGGGAAGAAAAGUACCAUAUAUCUGCAUUCUAGAAAUUCACAUCAGAUAGUGGAGAUGAAAUAUUGACCUUCCCCGUCCUUACUGUUUCACAAAAGGGCACGACAGAGAUGAGAAAAAAAAAAGAUUUGUUGCUUUUAGCCAAUGAAAUGGAAAUAUCAGGAAAAUGAUAGGAAAACAGAAAAAAUUAGCCCUAACUACUCAAGGGAGGGAGGAAGAUGAAGAAGAACAAGAGGGAGAACUGGGAGAAACCAGGAGUGGAAGGGGAAGAAGAUUACCAGCCCUUUUCUGUCUCGAGCCCAUCGUCCAUCAAAUCCUAAGCAACCACUCUGCAGAAGGAAAAAUCCGGACCCUCCAAUUGAGAUUACAAUCUCUUCCAAGUUCAAUCAAAUGCCAGAAAUUGAGGGGAGACCUCUGGGUCUCAUAAAAAAAAUGGAGUUUUGUCCAGAGGACAAAAGCAAAGAAAAGCUCUUGACAUCGAUUGAUGCUGCUAUGUUUUGAAAGACAGAGAAAGAAGAAAGAAG